UGCCCAGCAACUCCUAUCCCUACCUCCUCGUGGUACCGGCUGGAAACUAUGAGCAACCUUAGGGAAGC
rnacentral:ribozyme from 1 species